rnacentral:tRNA from 1 species
GGGCGAUUAGCUCAGAGGGAGAGCGCUCCGUUCACACCGGAGAGGUCAGAGGUUCAAAUCCUCUAUCGCCCA